rnacentral:lncRNA from 1 species
GCGCUUUGAAGUUUAUGAGACGUCAUGUAAACACACAAAUAGAACUAUUUUGGAAUUUUUAUCGAUCAUCUAGCCUGUUUUUAAGAAACCAUGUCACAGAAAAAGCAGCCUAAAGGUAUGUUGUUAAAUUGUCCUAAUCGGAGAAAUAUUGAUCAAAUCAUACGCACUACGAAAUUAGAUAUAAGAAGCAAACACAAUGUCGCGAUCUGUUAUGAUAAUAUGAUACAUAAAAAACAUGACUUCCGAUUUGUAUAGCUUGGCAGGCCCUUGGCAAGUUUAGAAAAAAAAGCUAGUGUCUAGCUGUUUUCUGAUUUUUAUAGUUAUUGGAUAUGUUGCCACUAGGUUUGGUGGCAUUACUAUCGAAGUUUAUAAGUGUUAACUUAUUUUAAUAAUCAUUCCCUUGAGGCCUUGACCCCUUGGGAAUUUUGGUUUACUAGUGCUUGGUACUUCAGUUGAAGCAUAUGUUGUUGUGUUCUUAUGUGUCGUCAGUUUUGUUUACAAUUUUAUAUCACGAGCUGGAUCAAUGUACACAUGCGUAGAACAGCCUGCACCACAUCUUUAAAUGUUAUGAUUUGAUCGACUGACCAAUUUUUGCUUAAUUUCUAAGGACAUCACCAACUAAAAAUGUUCAUGACAUCAUUAACCCAUUAAGUUGAAUUGUACACCAAUGUGCCCUACUUUAUUAUUAAAACUAACACCACACAAUUUUAUACAUCAAGGAGAGAACACUGGUACUCAAUGGGUAAAUCAGACUAUGUGCCCAUGUGUCUAGUAACUCUAGUUAAAUUAAUCCAUUAAGUUGAAUUGUAUCCCAAUGUGCCCUACUUUAUUAUGUCAGAUAUUUUACUCAAGGGGAAAGCAUUGGUGCUCAAUGGGUUACAGGUAAUUGGUACCUGUUCAAACAGUCCAACUUGUCAGGAGCAGAUGUAUGAUAAUGCUGGACAAUUCAACAAUACCUGAAAUUGUUCUGACAAAUCAAAUUGUAUAAACAUAAAUUAAGAAUUGUUUCAUGAUAUGUUGAGUACGCUGGAAGUUGGGAGAGCAUGAAAAACAUGAGUUGGUCAAGGUGCUAGCUGAGACCAACUCAGUGCUUGAGUCUCCCAACUGGGUGUCUGUCUGGGUGUUUUGCAUUAUGUUCACUAAUUGGAAUUACCACAGGAUGUAAUGUCUGUAAUGAUGUCCAUUCCAAUUAGCAAAGUCCAAUUAAUAAACGUAAUAAACAGAAAAUUAGACAGAAAUUGUGCAGCACCCGCAUAUUUUGUUUCCAUACAAUCUGAUAUUGAUCACUGGACUAAAGUGUAUUGUUUUAAUUAAAAACAAACAAGUAAAAUGUAUUUGUUUAUUUUUCAAAGAUUCAUAUAAUCAAAGCCACAAGAAUUUAAGCACUCAUGCCAGUGAAGAGCAAUGCUCAGUUUCAUGGACACUUUAAACAACAUGAAAUACUGUAGCACAAUGUGUACCCACUUAUUGAUAUAGUUUCAGGUUAAUUUGAGGCAGCACUUUCCUUUCGAUAAUACCUCCUAGUUAGGCCUAAAAAAAUACUUGUGGUUCCAAAUUUCCUAAAUUUGUCCAUAGAAAAUAUGCAUCUCUAGUUAGUAUUGAUGUCAGAAUUCUACUGCAAAUCGCCCCACAAAAAACUGCCAAAAUCAUGAAAAAAAUAUUCAAAAAAAAUUUAUUUCCAACCUACCGACCCUAAUUUUUUCACGAUAUGAAACUGGAACCACAGGUACUUUUUAGGCCUUACCAAACAUAUAUUUUAAGGGAAUAAUUAUCUUUUAAUCAUAAUGUUUGUAAAUAUAUACCAUAGGUUAUCCUAUGCAAGGUAGAGGACAGCCAGCAUACCCAACUCAACCGGCAUACCCAACUCAAUCAGCAUACCCAGCUCAAGCAGGAUACCCAACUCAACCAGCAUACCUAACUCAACUAGGUCCUGGUGGCUAUCCAACACAAUCCUACCAACAAGUUGCAUAUAACCCUCAAUACCCUCAACAUCCACAACUAUAUCCUAAUAUGAACCCACAAGUACCUUAUGCUCAACCUGGGUAUGGACAACCACCACCACCUUAUCCAGGAGCCACAUCUAACCCUGUCCCUCAGGUAACUGGU